GUAACCCCUAACUUCAUAACCUGUCUGUCUUUAAGUUUUCAUCUCUAGCUUGUUAUCUUAAUUGCAGCGUUUCAUUUCUAUUUUUCCUUGCUUUUCAUUUAGUCUGUGAGCUCCAUUUUUUUUUUCGACCUGUAAACAUGGUCUCCAGUAUACCCACUUUUCCUUUUGUCUCCUUCAUUCUGAUGUUCAUGCACAGUUCCACAGCACCUCAGUUCAGGUUAAGGAGUUUGCUUACCAAGCUUGAAUUUUGGUGUGUGAUUAAAAUUUAUUACUUUUUAAUCCAUCACUUCCAAAAAUCAUUAGAUGUUGUAACACUGUUUUUUCCAUGUUAAAAUUUACAUUACAAAGUGAUGAUUCAGUAGCAAUGAUUUGUGCUUUUCUUUGGAAAGCAGUCACGAGCAGUGGGAAAGUUAAUUGCAUCACUAAGUGAAAGUUUCAAACUGCAGAUAUCUGUUCAGCCUAUUUUGGACUUAUUUAUAUGUCACUGUUGUACACUAGAUAAAUCUGCAUGAUUGCUCUUCAUAACAUGGGUCUAGCCCAGGUCUGCUAUAGCAUUUGUGCAUACAUCACUGUUCAUCAAAGGUUUGCAUCACACGUCCUCAAAAGUUGGUGUUUGUCUUGCUCUACACUCCACCCACUGAUGCUGUGUUACUGCUUAGUGACACUCUACCUAGUUUGCCACUUACAGAAAUCCUGUCUUGUAUAUAGCUUCUCACUGACUUAUACCAAUCAGCUGCUAACUAUGCUGCAUCUGUAGCCUUUUGCUCUAGCCUGUAUGCUACAUGAAAUUAUUUUACGUAACACUCAACAGCUUGUUGUUGGCCAUGUGGCAAUAUAAUGUUUCUUCCAGUUGGCAGUUGCUAUAAGACUACUCAUAAUCCUGUGAGAAGCAAUGUGUGAAGUGGAAAAGAGUGGUGCAUUAUCACUGGAAUACAUCUAUCUGUAUAAGCUGGUGAAAAGUGCUAUAUGAAAGUGAAUCUUUAGUGUUAAUGUGUGCCACAAACCAGUAAAACAGCAGCUUAUCAGAAGUCAACUAUACUGCAGAAGUUGACUAAUAAGGCCUAAAACCUCAGCACAUAAAAAAAAUUCAAGCAAAAAAGCAACCGCUGAUUAAAAUAUGGGAGCUGAAAUUGCUUGCACUGACAUCUUCUUUAUUGCCUAGCUCCAUGGUACUUUUGUUCUUAAAUUCUAUGUUUGAUCUUCCAAUAUUUCCUUAACUGUCUUGAUUACUAGGGGUGUGACGAGAUCAACUCAUGACGAUAUUUCUCAUUUGAGUGAUUAGCUGUCUCGCGGGCACAGGGCAGAAGCCUAUCAGACUGUGAGCUACCCAAACUUCUAGGUAGAAGGUUGACUCAGGAUUGUGACUCAGAUCGAGUAACCUAAGACUCAAAGGAUCAUGGAGACAGAGGGGGAGACAGAGGAACAAAACAAAAAAGUCUGUCACUCUGUCCAUACAAACUUCGUUGUGCGUGAUCACCUCAUUCACGUGUGCUCUCACAAGUCUGGGCCGAUGCCUAAGUUCUAAACAGACCAACCUGUGUGUCAGGAAAACAGUAUCCUUACACACAAUGAGAGGGAGAGAACGAACACUAAAUGCUCAAACUACGCAAAAUGGUACAGAGAGUGGUUUUUGUCUGUGGGGAAAGAGAGAGUUCUGUCUGCCUGUCUCUCAAAACUCCCCUAACUCCUCACUCUCUUGGUCAGUCGUUCAGCAGAAAAACGGAUCGAUAAAGAGUUGAAGCUCUCCGUGCCAAGUGACUCCUCGUAAAUGGCGAGUCGGCAGCAGCUGGUUUCCACUCCAAGCUCUGGAAUAAUGACAUGGGGGACGAUCUCAGCGGUGCUUUUGCUCAGUACAGUAUGUAUCCUCUGAUCUUUCUCGCUGUGCUGUUGCAUGACCGCCAAUCCUGUUACUGCGGAACUCGAGGAGCUAUCUGUUCUCAGCAUUAAACAUGUUGAUCAGAAUGAAUCUGGCAUUUUUAAAACUAGGCUCCUAUGAAGAGUCACACCAGUUAUCUUCAUUACCCCAUAGUUCUUGCUUAACUUCCCAGGGGUGUCAAGCUAAGUUGAAUCUAUUCAAUACACAAACUAACCAUGAUGUAGUAUCAUGCCAUGCCUUAAGAAAAUUCUCAUUCAUCAUUUUUUUUCUGAUUAUCACCUCUCGUGGACAGAUGACACUUAAAAUUAUUCAAUUAUAUGAGAAGAAACAACCAUUACUAGGCCUUAAUGUGCAGUACUUCUGUUCUUGCUUAAAAUGUCUAAUCUCCAUCACAAAGAAAAAGUAAAAUUCCAAAGGGUUUGCAGCAAGAUUUAUUGAAAAGUGCACACAGAUGGUAAAGCUCCACUGCUCCAACACCAAAUAAGACUAUUGUCUCUGUUCUGCUGCAGCACUCUUACCUUUUGUUAAAAGAAAUGUCCAUUUUCACUCCACAA